UACGUAGGGUGCGAGCGUUGUCCGGAAUUAUUGGGCGUAAAGAGCUCGUAGGCGGUGUGUCGCGUCGGCCGUGAAAACUCACAGCUUAACUGUGGGCGUGCGGGCGAUACGGGCAGACUGGAGUACUGCAGGGGAGACUGGAAUUCCUGGUGUAGCGGUGGAAUGCGCAGAUAUCAGGAGGAACACCGGUGGCGAAGGCGGGUCUCUGGGCAGUAACUGACGCUGGAGGAGCGAAAGCGUGGGGAGCGAACAGG
rnacentral:rRNA from 1 species